AUUGAACGCUGGCGGCAGGCCUAACACAUGCAAGUCGAGCGAGCGGCGGACGGGUGAGUAAUGUAUGGGGACUGCCCGAUAGAGGGGGGUAACUACUGGAAACGGUGGCUAAUACCGCAUACUGUGGGAUAACACAUAUGGGAGUAGCUAGUAGGUAAGGUAAUGGCUUGCCUAGGCGCAGAUCCCUCGCUGGUCUGAGAGGAUGAUCAGCCACACUGGGACUGAGGCACGGCCCAGACUCCUACGGAGGCAGCAGUGGGGAAUAUUGCCCCAUGUGCGCAAGCCGUAUGCAGCCAUGCCGCGUGUAUGAAGAAGGCCCUAGGGUUGUAAAGUACUUUCAGUCGGGAGGCGUUACCGACAGAAGAAGCACCGGCUAACUCCGUGCCAGCAGCCGCGGUAAUUC
rnacentral:rRNA from 1 species